GUCCCUGUAGUGCAAUGGAUUGCACGUUGAACUUCUAAUCCAAAGGUCAUGGGUUCAAUUACCACCUGGGAUG